AUUGAACGCUGGCGGCAGGCCUAACACAUGCCAGUCGAGCGGAUGAUGGGAGCUUGCUCCUGGAUUCAGCGGCGGACGGGUGAGUAAUGCCUAGGAAUCUGCCUGGUAGUGGGGGAUAACGUCCGGAAACGGGCGCUAAUACCGCAUACGUCCUGAGGGAGAAAGUGGGGGAUCUUCGGACCUCACGCUAUCAGAUGAGCCUAGGUCGGAUUAGCUAGUUGGUGGGGUAAAGGCCUACCAAGGCGACGAUCCGUAACUGGUCUGAGAGGAUGAUCAGUCACACUGGAACUGAGACACGGUCCAGACUCCUACGGGAGGCAGCAGUGGGGAAUAUUGGACAAUGGGCGAAAGCCUGAUCCAGCCAUGCCGCGUGUGUGAAGAAGGUCUUCGGAUUGUAAAGCACUUUAAGUUGGGAGGAAGGGCAGUAAGUUAAUACCUUGCUGUUUUGACGUUACCAACAGAAUAAGCACCGGCUAACUUCGUG
rnacentral:rRNA from 1 species